AAAUGUUAUCAAACACAUACACCUUUUGCAACUGCGGAUUGAAAACUCAACCGUGUCAACUAGCAUUUUUAACUAACUAUAGUUUUAGUCUUAAAGGGUGCUGAGUUUAUGCGUUAUAAAUGAACACCCCCCUCCCUUUUUUUUUCUCUCUAAUUUGGGUGCUCACGUCAAAAGCAUCUAAAAGCAUUUUAACUUUUGUCGACUGUCCCAAUUCAAGUUUGUUUGAGAGAGUCCUCCCUUCUUAGCUUGGAUCCUUUAUAUAAGUCCAGAUGAAUAAAAUAAAAUGAAAUGCAAAAGGAAGGCAUCAUUAAUGGCUUGAAGGCGUCCCACUUUUAUUUUCUUGUAUUUUAAGAGCUGAAGUUGGAAAUAUGGAAUCCUCCCAAGCCGCUCAGAAAGUUUGAAGACACAGGGGGCAGGGACCCAGACUUAUGGAAGUCUCCGCCUCAGGCUGAAGGUGGUCAAGGGGUUUGAAGGCACGACUAUUCAUAUGAUUUGGGAGAGGUUGCUGAAUCUCCAGGAGAUACCCUUGUGAGCUUCAGACUGGGGUCUGUGUCUGGGACUGGAAGACCCCAGGACAUUGGAGAGAGGAGCAAAGCCUAGAGCAUGAGCCCCAGAAGACGCCACUGUGCCGGUGCACCACCUGGGGACUUUGGCUUAUGUGGAUUCUGUUUCAGUAGAUCUGGGUGGGAUCGAGAUCUUUUAUUUCCAACCAACACCCACGUCCCAGGACCUCACUGGAAAGAGGCGGGCGGGCGCGGGGAGCCUUCCUGAGGUUCCUGGUUCUCAAGAGCCGGGUGUAAGGAAGGAAAAUCAAAGAUUGAAUUUAGAUGUAUGUAUUGGAGGGGAAUAUUGGAGGAAGGGGGAGCAGGGGAGCACGCCCAGCCUCCUCUCCUGUCUUUCCCGCCCCCUUGUCUAAACUCAAAACCGAGUCCGGGCGCGCCUUGCAGGGCGCCCGAGCUCUGCAGCGGCGUUGCGGGCUGAACCCAUCCGGCACAAACUGCGGGCCACUGGCCCCUCACACCUGGGAGUUUGCGGCGCUGGCCUGCAGCCCGGGGCCCACGUGGCGGAAGCUUUCCCGGGCGCGCGCUGCGCAGCCCCGCGGGGCCGGGGAGACACCGCUCGGGAGUCCUCCGCUCGGCUGCAGAAUCUUUAUCAGCUGCACUUUACCGCAGCCCUGGCUAGGACGCUAGGCGGUGGAGCGCCCUAUCCAGGUGCGCCGCCGCACCAUGGAUCACCGCGCCCGGUCCCGCAGUCCCGCCAUGGCCUGGGGAGGCCCGAAGCCCGGGGACAGUGGCCGGCCCAUCUCCGGCUCCGCGGACCCCCGGCUCAGGCGGGAGGGCAGGCGGGUCCCUGCAGGCCCCCAGGGAGCCCGGGAGCCUCUCUCUGGCGUCAUUCAGUCCCGGGGCAACCUGAAGCGCGGUAGAUAUUGGAGAGGGGGCGUCUGUUGGGGGGACCUGGCGUCAUUACUGAUGGCUAGCAGGGAGGAGGGAACGGGUUGUCACCUCGGCCUCAUAAGGCCGUGAGUGAGUAGUCCAGGGCCUCUUCAGGCAUUUUUGAAACUGGAUUAACUAGGGGGGAAAUUGUAGCACUGAAGCCACCGUGACUGUCUUUUGCGCUGUGUGGAAACUCCGGUAAAACUCUUUGGGCAACAGUCUUAUCACCAGCUCUUCAACGUGUGCAGCCCUUCUGGUCCUGUCCCUGUUCUGGGCCCCAGGAAUGCAAAGCAGGUCCAGGCACUGUGAAGACCCUGGCGGUGGAGGAAGAGGCUUCCCGGCUGUGGAGGAAGCCAGACCCUUACAACACAAGACGAGAACCAGACCUGCGUGGGGGAGCUCUGGAUGCUACAGGGGCUCAAGGAGGGGUGGAGGGGCCUUCCCAGGCCAACCCCUGAACGGCUUGGACAAGAUGCUCAGAUGGACGGGAGGAACG
rnacentral:lncRNA from 1 species